UAGGGAAUCUUCGGCAAUGGGGGGAACCCUGACCGAGCAACGCCGCGUGAGUGAAGAAGGUUUUCGGAUCGUUAAGCUCUGUUGUUAAGGAAGAACGAGUGUGAGAAUGGAAAGUUCAUACUGUGACGGUACUUAACCAGAAAGGGACGGCUAACUACGUGCCAGCAGCCGCGGUAAUACGUAGGUCCCGAGCGUUGUCCGGAUUUAUUGGGCGUAAAGCGAGCGCAGGCGGUUAGAUAAGUCUGAAGUUAAAGGCAGUGGCUCAACCAUUGUAGGCUUUGGAAACUGUUUAACUUGAGUGCAGAAGGGGGGAGUGGAAUUCCAUGUGUAGCGGUGAAAUGCGUAGAUAUAUGGAGGAACACCGGUGGCGAAAGCGGCUCUCUGGUCUGUAACUGACGCUGAGGCUCGAAAGCGUGGGGAGCGAACAGG
rnacentral:rRNA from 1 species